rfam:Homo sapiens chromosome 1, GRCh38 reference primary assembly.
GCUGGGCAUAGUGGUGUAUGCCUGUAGUCCCAGCUACUUGGGAGGCUGAGGUGGGAGGAUCACUUGAGCCCAGGAGGUUGAGGCUGCACUGAGCUGUGAUUGCACCACUGCACUCCAACCUGGGUAACAGAGCGAGACCUUGUCUCAA